AACAUCAACUUGUUCAUUCCUUUCCUUCAUUAAUUUUUUUUUUGGAUAUUUAAAUAUUUGUAAGCAUUAUUUAUUAAUUCGAACAUAUAAACGUACAUAAAUUAUUCGGACAGAAAAUGGAUUUUAACCACAUCAUAGAAGAAGCAUCAGAAAAUACUCCUGUAACUAAAAAAAGGUGGGAAAUUAAAUUUUAAUUAAAUAGUAAAAGGGAAAUAUCUUAAGUAUUUUGUUAUUUUUCAGAUAUUGAUUUUCUUGAGAAAAGGAUAUUGGACCGUAGAAAACAGUCGGAAAAUAAAAUACUGAAAGGUAAGAAAAUGGCUAUGCGACUUUUGUAGCUGCGUAUAUUGGCGUUUUACCAUUCAGUCUUAUGUGACAACUUAUGAAACCCCAAAAAUAUGUUUUUUAAUGUUAUUAGAUACGUUUUUGUAUUACAGAAAUAGACCACAAUCAAAAAUCCUUAAAGAGGGCCCUGACACGAAUUUUGCAAGAAACAAAGCAGACUACAAAGACAAGCCACAAAUCACGAAGUGAGCUGCUCCUGAAAGUUCCAUUUGAUAACUUGGAACAAUUUCAAAAUUUUGAAAAGGAUAUACAGGAGCAUUCAAGCAAAUUUAAUGAACUGAAGGAGGAAUUUUUCACAGUAUCUGGCCACACAGCUGAAAAGUUCGUAAAAAAUGCUUGCCGUCAAAUUUUUACCGAUGGUGUUGCGCAGAAUUUGUGUUGGAAGGGUACGAAGGAUAAAAUGGCUGUGUAACAGCUGCCUUAAAAAGUACAUUUUCGCCUAAAUUCCCUCAUGCGACAGAUACAGAUUUUGAGCGCACGUCCAUAGUCUUCUUCCAGCAUGCUAAAGGUCGCUACAUGAAGAAGAAGGCAUACGACUCUAAAAAAACAAAAACUUAAAAGAACAUAAUGUGAUCUCAUUUUAAUUUUUUAUGAAUAUUUUUGUGUUUGAAUUUGAAU